rnacentral:tRNA from 1 species
GCGCCUGUAGCUCAUUUGGAUAGAGCGUCUGACUACGGAUCAGAAGGCGGGGGGUUCGAAUCCCUCCAGGCGCACCA